rnacentral:rRNA from 1 species
UUAGUGCGGACGGGUGAGUAACGCGUGGAAAACCUGCCGUAUACUGGGGGAUAACACUUAGAAAUAGGUGCUAAUACCGCAUAAGCGCACAGCUUCGCAUGAAGCGGUGUGAAAAACUCUGGUGGUAUACGAUGGUUCCGCGUCUGAUUAGCUAGUUGGUGGGGUAAUGGCCUACCAAGGCAACGAUCAGUAGCCGGCCUGAGAGGGUGAACGGCCACAUUGGGACUGAGACACGGCCCAAACUCCUACGGGAGGCAGCAG